GAUUGAACUUAAGAGUUUGAUCCUGGCUCAGAUUGAACGCUGGCGGCAUGCUUUACACAUGCAAGUCGAACGGCAGCGGGGGCUUCGGCCUGCCGGCGAGUGGCGAACGGGUGAGUAAUGCAUCGGAACGUGCCCAUGUCGUGGGGGAUAACGUAGCGAAAGCUACGCUAAUACCGCAUACGUCCUGAGGGAGAAAGCGGGGGAUCUUCGGACCUCGCGCGAUUGGAGCGGCCGAUGUCGGAUUAGCUAGUAGGUGAGGUAAAGGCUCACCUAGGCGACGAUCCGUAGCGGGUCUGAGAGGAUGAUCCGCCACACUGGGACUGAGACACGGCCCAGACUCCUACGGGAGGCAGCAGUGGGGAAUUUUGGACAAUGGGCGCAAGCCUGAUCCAGCCAUGCCGCGUGAGUGA
rnacentral:rRNA from 1 species